GCAUUUAUUGAAAUGGAAUGAAACAUGAAACAACUCAUUAUACAUUCAGAAGAUUUGAACAAACUGUAUAAUUAUGUCAGAAAAGAACCCAAAACAAACAAGAACAGUUUACUAACAUUAAGUUGAUGUUGCAGUGGGGUUUGAGGUGGAGGUUGCUGUGGGGUUUGAGGUGGUGGUUGCAGUGGGGCUUAAGGUGGAGGUUGCUGUGGAGCUUGAGGUGGACGUUGCAGUGGGGCUUGAGGUGGAGGUUGCAGUGGGGUUUGAGGUGGAGGUUGCAGUGGGGCUUGAGGUGGAGGUUGCUGUGGGGCUUGAGUUGGAGGUUGCAGUGGGGUUUGACGUGGAGGUUGCUGUGGG